GGGCUGGCUUCAUCAGCACAGAUGCUAAAAUUAGAAUGGUAUAGAGAUUGCAUAACCCAUGCACAAGGAUGGCAUGCAAGUUCAUGAAGUGUUCCAUGUUUUU
ensembl:snRNA U6 U6 spliceosomal RNA